rnacentral:rRNA from 1 species
UACAGAGGUCUCAAGCGUUGUUCGGAUUCAUUGGGCGUAAAGGGUGCGUAGGUGGCGCGGUAAGUUGGGUGUGAAAUUUCGGAGCUUAACUCCGAAACUGCAUUCGAUACUGCCGUGCUUGAGGACUGGAGAGGAGACUGGAAUUUACGGUGUAGCAGUGAAAUGCGUAGAGAUCGUAAGGAAGACCAGUGGCGAAGGCGGGUCUCUGGACAGUUCCUGACGCUGAGGCACGAAGGCCAGGGAGCAAACGGG